UACAGAGGGGGCAAGCGUUGUUCGGAAUUACUGGGCGUAAAGGGCGCGUAGGCGGCCUUCUAAGUCGAACGUGAAAUCCCCGGGCUCAACCCGGGAACUGCGUCUGAUACUGGUAUGGCUUGAGUGCAGGAGAGGAACGCGGAAUUCCAGGUGUAGCGGUGAAAUGCGUAGAUAUCUGGAGGAACACCGGUGGCGAAGGCGGCGUCUGGACUGCAACUGACACUGAGGAACGAAAGCCAGGGGAGCAAACGGG
rnacentral:rRNA from 1 species